rnacentral:lncRNA from 1 species
CUGUCUCAGAUACUUACCUGUAUAUACCUGUGGGAGGAAGAAGAAAAAGGUGUGUCCACCUAGAAUAAUUUGUUUGCUGGAAGUUCUGUUGUUGGCAGAAAAUGGAAGCUACAAACUAGUGUGGUUAUCAGCAGGGAAUGGGAUCAAAGUUUCAGUCCAACAAGUCCAGGCAACUUUCAGCUUGAAGGCCAAGGUGUUACUACUUAGAAUUUAGGGCACAGAAGGCUGGUGUGUGUCGGCAGUGAUAUUUGGGAGAAUGAGUCUGUUUGGGAGACACUUUAGGUCAUACCAGCAGCUGCUGACAUAUGAACCUCGCAGAUGAAGAUGCCAUAGCAUGGCUAUUUCUCGACUGCACUGCUGAAGG